AACGAACGCUGGCGGCAGGCUUAACACAUGCAAGUCGAACGCGUGUAGCAAUACACGAGUGGCGCACGGGUGAGUAACGCGUGGAUAUCUGCCUUUUGGUUCGGAAUAACUCCGGGAAACUGGAGCUAAUACCGGAUGGUUCCUACGGGAUAAAGAUUUAUCGCCAAAAGAUGAGUCCGCGUACGAUUAGCUAGUUGGUGAGGUAAUGGCUCACCAAGGCGACGAUCGUUAGCUGGUCUGAGAGGACGAUCAGCCACACUGGGACUGAGACACGGCCCAGACUCCUACGGGAGGCAGCAGUGGGAAUAUUGGACAAUGGGGGCAACCCUGAUCCAGCCAUGCCGCGUGAGUGAUGAAGGCCUUGGGUUGUAAAGCUCUUUGGUCGGGACGGAUGAUGACGGUACCCGCAGAAUAAGCCCCCGGCUAACUUCGUGCCAGCAGCCGCGGU
rnacentral:rRNA from 1 species